AUGGCGCCCUUGGCUUCCAAAAUACUUGCCUCUCUCACCAUACUGAUGAUGUGCACCACCGCACUCGUCUCAGCCGCUGGAGCGCUGCCAUCACUUGAACAACAAGCAGGGGCACUUCUUGCCUGGAAAGCCAGCCUCAGUCAGCAAAGCCAAGACGCCCUGCGAUCCUGGGAAAACAUCUCAGCACCUUGCCGUUGGCAAGGCAUCCGGUGUGGUGGGCGCUGGCCGGUGAUUGCCGCCAUCUCCCUGCCGGGGAUGCGGCUGAGAGGGACACUUGAGUCUCUUGACUUCUCGGCUUUGAGGACCUUGGUGGCCCUUGAGCUCUCGCACAACGAGCUUGCCGGGAGCAUCCCUGUGAAUAUUAAGCUCCUCAAAGAACUUCGUGCUCUCCUCCUGCAUGACAAUCAGAUAAGAGGUUCAAUUCCACCUGUUUUAGCAAAUCUCACGAAACUGCGUCUCCUAAUGCUCCAUGACAAUCAAGUCUCCGGUGAAAUACCAAGGCAAAUAGGCGAGAUGGGUAAUCUUGUGAGCCUGAACUUGUCAAACAAUUACUUAGUUGGUCCUAUCCCUUGUGAAAUAGGUCACCUUAAGCAUUUGCUUAAAUUAGAUUUGUCCAGCAAUGACCUUUCCGGACCAGUUUCCUUCAGUCCAGCUAACUCAUCCAUACAAAAUCCUAUGAAUAAUUUUUCAUCUCAGCCUACUGCAAAAGUAAACUUAGAAAACAUAAAUAUGCUAUCAUUAUCCCAUAAUAACUUAAGUGGUCCCAUUCCCAAAGAUAUAGUGAAAUUUUUCGACCUACAACACUUGGACAUAAGCCAAAACAACUUUUCAGGUUCUAUCCCAAGCAAUAUAGGUAACCUGGCCAAACUCACUACCUUGUACCUUUACCAUAACCAACUUUCUGGACGCAUUCCUCGAGAACUAGGUUAUUUAGUGAACUUAGAGGACUUGAGGCUCAACAACAACACACUAUCUGGUUCCGUUCCAAGCAAUUUAUGGAAUUUGACCAAACUCGCUACCUUGCACCUUCACCGUAACCAACUUUCUGGACACAUUCCUCUGGUUUUGGGAUAUUUGGUGCACAUAGAGGACUUGCGGCUCAGCUACAACACACUAACAGGUUCCUUUCCAAGAAAUUUGUGUAAUUUGACCAAACUCAAGAUCUUGUACCUUGGCCAGAACCAACUUUCCGGAAAAAUUCUUUGGGAACUAGGUUAUAUGGUGAAUUUAGAGGACUUUCAGCUCAGUUUGAACAACCUAACAGGUCCUAUCCCAAACAGUUUAGGAAAUUUGACUAAGCUCACCUUCUUAAACCUUAAUUUCAACCAAUUUUCUGGACACAUUCCUCAAGAAAUUGGCGAGUUAAUGAAUCUGGAAAUGUUUGGAGUUUCUUUGAACAAUCUAUCUGGUGCAUUGCCAUCGGGUCUUUGCGCGGGAGGCCGACUACAGUUUCUCACCGCUAAUGGCAACAACUUGGUUGGACCCUUGCCAACAAGCUUGCUAAGUUGCAAAAGCCUAGUCAAACUUCGUCUUGAAGGAAAUCAGCUUCAAGGAGAUAUCUCCGAGAUGGGGCUUCACCCGGAUCUUGUCUAUGUUGAUAUCAGUUCAAACAAAUUAUUUGGUCAAUUAUCUCAUCGCUGGGGUGAGUGUUACAAACUUACAAUGCUACGUGCCUCAAACAAUAACAUUACUGGAGUCAUACCACCAAGCAUAGGGCAGUUAUCUCAGUUGGGGAUACUUGAUGUUUCAUCAAAUAAACUUGAAGGGCAGAUUCCACUGGAGAUUGGCAAUUUAACGUUGCUGUUCAACUUGAGCCUGGGUAAUAACCUGCUCCAAGGAAGUAUACCUAAAGAUAUUGGAUCGCUAAAGAAUUUGGAGUACUUAGAUUUAUCAUCAAACAACCUAAGUGGGAUGAUACAAGGGUCAAUUGAACAUUGUCUCAAGCUUCACUUCCUGAAUUUGAGCCAUAAUCACCUCAAUGGCAGCAUACCAAUCGAACUAGGAAUGUUGGUAAACCUACAAGAAUUGUUGGAUCUAAGUGAUAAUUCAUUUGCUAGUGUCAUUCCGAGUCAGCUGGGUGGUUUGAGCAUGCUCGAAGUUUUGAAUCUUUCACACAAUGCAUUGAAAGGUAGCAUCCCACCAUCAUUUCAGCGCAUGCUCAGCCUCCUAUCCAUUGAUGUGUCAUUCAACAAAUUGGAAGGGUCAGUGCCACAGAGUAGAUUGUUUGAAGAAGCUCCAAUCCAAUGGUUCAUGCAGAAUAAGAAAUUGUGUGGUGUAGUGAAAGGUUUGCCCCCUUGUGACCUUAAUCAAAGUGGUGAACAAAAAAAGAAGCCCAGAGCUAUUUUACUAGCUAUAAUACCUGUUGUUGUAUCUUUUCUGUUUAUCAUGGCACUAGUACCUUUGCAAUGUAAAACAAGGAAAUCCAAGGUGGAAAGCGCAAAUGAAUUGCAACAGACAAAUCUGUUUGCCAUCUGGAACUUUCAUGGAGGAGAUAUGUACAGGCAAAUUGUUGACGCCACAGAAAAUUUUAGUGACGCUCACUGCAUUGGAAUUGGAAGUAGUGGGUCAGUAUAUAGAGCUCAGUUACCAACAUGCGAGAUAUUUGCAGUAAAGAAGAUUCAUACAAUAGAAGAUGAUGAGCUAUUUAAUCGUGAAAUAGAUGCCUUGAUGCAUAUUCGGCAUCGCAAUAUUGUGAAGUUAUUUGGCUACUGUUCUGCUACUCAAGGAAGAUUUCUUUUGUAUGAAUACAUGGAACGAGGAAGCUUAGCAGCAUCUUUAAGGACCAAGGAAACUGCAAUAGAGUUGGACUGGACAAGGAGGUUAAAUAUUGUUAAGGAUGUGGCCCAUGCUUUGUCUUACAUGCAUCAUGAUUGCUUUGCGCCGAUAGUCCAUAGAGAUAUAACAAGCAACAACAUUUUGCUUGAUCUGGAAUUUAGAGCAUGCAUCUCUGAUUUUGGUAUUGCCAAAAUAUUAGAUGUGGAUGGGUCAAACUGCACAAGGCUUGCCGGGACAAAAGGAUAUCUUGCACCAGAGCUUGCAUACACAACAAGGGUGACGGAGAAGUGCGACGUAUACAGUUUUGGAGUGCUCGUGCUCGAGUUGUUCAUGGGACAUCAUCCGGGUGACUUUCUUUUGUCCCUCUCGUCCAUGGACAAGAGAAGUACAAUACCCAAGGAUUUGCUGGACACCCGGCUCCCAUUCCCUAAAGCUGAGAUUGCAAAUGAAAUAUUCAAAGUGAUUGCCAUCGCUAUUCGGUGCAUAGAACCUGACCCAUCACACCGUUCGACAAUGCAGGAUGCAAUCAAGGUGUUCUCUCCAGAUGAAGGGCCCGGUAAUCUUGAUUACCUGCACACUGACAUCGUCAUCCUUGCUUGUGGUCUUGAAUGUUCUUAG
rnacentral:rRNA from 1 species